AUCGAAUCACACAGACUGUCUUCUGACUGCUUUGGAGAAUACAAAGGAGGGUAUGCUAGCGCUGCUCCGCGUCCCAAGGGAUGUGACGGCUACAAUUAUGCCAUUUCUGUCUUCUCGUGACCAAAUAUGCUCCUGACUCCAUAUGCCCCAUUUAUUUAUUUUUUUUAAUUUUGCGUCCUGUGGACCUCACUUUAAGGCAGAUUUUGUAACACAGAUGUUUUCAGAGGACAGGGAUGUAAGAUUAAUAGUGGAAAUUAGGGCAGAGUAGAAUCAUGAGGAAUGGUGGAAAAUGUGGAGCUAACGAUUUGUAUUUUAUCACCCUAAAGGCAUUCAGAUUCAAUAUAAAAACCAAACAGCAAAUACUUUACUAACCAGACAAAACCACCAACCAGAUACAACUUUUUUAUCUCCAAUCAACCACUGUUUGUCAGUCCCUUUCUGUCAUAUGUCUUCUUUUCCCCUUUUCCCAUAGCUGAACCAUUUCUUCCAACUCUCAUAGUGAAAUCAGGCUAUUUAGGCAGAAUAAUACCAUCCCAAGUAUGUGCAUACCAUAAUCCCUCAGAAACUGUGAAUAUAUUAUUUACUUUGCUGAUGAAAUAAGGUUAGGAGCCUUAAAUACAUUAUGCUGAAUUACAAGGAUGGACUCAAGUCUAAUCCCAAAAGCUUUAGGAGCAGAGAAAUAUGUCUAGCUGGAAGAAGCAGAAGUCAGAGAUACUCAAAGCUAAGAAAAACUUGACAGCUGAUUGCUGGUGUGAAGAUGGAAGGAGUGAGGUGAAGAGAAAUGUCAGGUGGGCUUGGGAAGCUGAGAGGGGCUCCUGUGCUGAUGGUUAAUAAGGCAGCAUCUCACGCCUACAGCCACGAGGACCUGGGUUCUUCCAGUACCCGAAUGAGCUUGGUGCUACUCUUCCCUGGAGCCUCCAGAAAGGAACACAAGCUUGCAGGCACCUUGAUUUCCUCCUUGUGAGAUGCUAAGGUAAGGUUUGGCUGUUUCCUGAACCUUCCUGAGACUGCAGUUGACCGGAUCCCCAUCAGAUAUUCUCUGCUCCUGAAAUCCUGGACAGUCACCCUGAUUCACUUGGCACCUACAUUACAGUGACCUGGGGCAUAUCUGCAGGCCUGUCAGAGCUCAUCCAGAAAGGCUGACCUAGCGUGCCCCAGGUUUUGGUGUGAUGGCGCAUGAGAGCAGAAUGUGGAAGCAGGGACGUGCAUGGAAUGUUUGUGUGACAAUGAUGCUAACCACAUUCAAGAAUGGCAUUUCAUAAAAACACGUUCAAACAAAAAUUAAAAA